ACCUCAAAGAAACUUGAACGGGGGCCUGCACAAGCGGUGGAGCAUGUGGUUUAAUUCGAAGCUACGCGCAGAACCUUACCAGCGUUUGACAUCCUCAUCGCGGAUUCCAGAGAUGGUUUCCUUCAGUUCGGCUGGAUGAGUGACAGGUGCUGCAUGGCUGUCGUCAGCUCGUGUCGUGAGAUGUUGGGUUAAGUCCCGCAAUCGAGCGCAACCCUCGUCUUUAGUUGCCAUCAUUUAGUUGGGCACUCUAAAGAAACCGCCGGUGAUAAGCCGGAGGAAGGUGGGGAUGCACGUCAAGUCCUCAUGGCCCUUACACGCUGGGCUACACACGUGCUACAAUGGCGGUGACAGUGGGCAGCGAACUCGCGAGGGGGAGCUAAUCGCAGUAAAGCCGGUCUCAGUUCGUGAUUGUAGGCUGCAACUCGCCUGCAUGAAGUCGGUAAUCGUCUA
rnacentral:rRNA from 1 species